GUUCGGGUGGCAGAGCCCGGUAGAAUGCAAAAGGCCUAAGAUCUUUCCACGGAGGUUCAAUUCCUCCCCCCUACU
rnacentral:tRNA from 1 species